GGUUGGGCUUUGAAAGGGAUUUUUCGUCUUGGUUGCCGUUUGAUUGUUGGCUCUCGCGCUAUACCGUGUGUGAAGCAUAUAAAAGCCUCUCGAACACUCGUACGCCGGGCGUGUCGUUAACUCGACCACCGCGUAUGCGAGUUAUUAGUAAGGCUGUAGCGCGAGUGGCUGUAUCAGUCAGCUGUAUGUCGGUGAACCUUCACGGGUUCAUCGUUUUACAGUAAGGGCUUUUUCUGAGUGGGCGCGCGUCGAAGACUCGCACACAGUACACUACGAUCGACUCGUUGACUUUAACAAAAAAUCAUAUCUGACCUCAGUUUAGGUGAGACUACCCGCUGAACUUAAGCAUAUCAGUAAGCGGAGGAAAAGAAACUAACAAGGAUUCCCUUAGUAGCGGCGAGCGAACAGGGAAGAGCUCAGCACCGAACCUCGCGCCCGGCAAAGCGGACGCAGAGGAAUGUGGUGUUUGGGAGAACCGUGCGUGUCUGUCCGGUAUAUUCAUCCAAGUCUCCAUGAACGGGGCGAGCAACCCACAGAGGGUGUCAGGCCCGUAGACCAGAUGAGCCGAGACCGUACAUCGGGUUCCUCC
rnacentral:rRNA from 1 species